rnacentral:rRNA from 1 species
UACGAAGGGGGCUAGCGUUGUUCGGAAUUACUGGGCGUAAAGCGCAAGUAGGCGGACUGUCAAGUCAGGGGUGAAAUCCCGGGGCUCAACCUCGGAACUGCCUUUGAUACUGUCAGUCUAGAGUCCGGAAGAGGUGGGUGGAAUUCCUAGUGUAGAGGUGAAAUUCGCAGAUAUUAGGAAGAACACCGGUGGCGAAGGCGGCCCACUGGUCCGGUACUGACGCUGAGGUGCGAAAGCGUGGGGAGCAAACAGG